CCCUUACCCGCUGAACUUAAGCAUAUCAAUAAGCGGAGGAAAAGAAACUAACAAGGAUUCCCCUAGUAACGGCGAGUGAAGCGGGAAUAGCUCAAAUUUGAAAUCCGUCUGGUCUCCAGGCCGAAUUGUAGUUUAUAAAAGUGUUUUCGGGGGCAGACCAGGCUCAAGUCCUUUGGGAUGAGGCAUCAUAGAGGGUGAGAAUCCCGUUGCGUCUGGUCUUGCUUCUAUGUGAUACACCUUUGACGAGUCGGGUUGUUUGGGAAUGCAGCCCAAAAUGGGUGGUAAAUACCAUCUAAAGCUAAAUACUGGCGAGAGACCGAUAGCGAACAAGUACCGUGAGGGAAAGAUGAAAAGAACUUUGAAAAGAGAGUUAAAAGUACGUGAAAUUGUCAAAAGGGAAACACUUGAAACCAGUCUUGCAAACAAAAUCCCAACCAGUCAGGCGACUGGUAUAUGAUUCUGUUGGCAGGUCAGCAUCGGUUUGUGCCGGAGUAAAAAGCCUGCGGAAUUAUGCCAACUUGUUGGUCGAUGUAACCGUAGGUGCUGCUCUGGCAUAGACCGAGGAAUGCAGUGUAGUCUUGGGAAGCCUACCGCCGGGUGAUGCUUGACUGUAGACAACUUGUUGAUUGCAGGGCAAGAUAAGCUUGCACGGUCGGUGUACCACACCUAUGCUUAGGAUGCUGACAUAAUGGUUUUAAAUGACCCGUCUUGAAACACGGACCAAGGAGUCUAACACAUGUGCGAGUUUUUGGGUGCGAAACCCGGAAGGUGUAAUGAAAGUACUAAGGUGGGACCCCGCAAGGGUGCACCAUCGACCGGUCUUGAUAUCUUUGGAUUGAUCUGAGUGGAAGCAUAUUUGUUAGGACCCGAAAGAUGGUGAACUAUACGUGAGUAGGGUGAAGCCAGAGGAAACUCUGGUGGAGGCUCGUAGGGAUUCUGACGUGCAAAUCGAUCUUAGAACUUGCGUAUAGGGGCGAAAGACUAAUCGAACUAUCUAAUGGCUGGUUCCCUCCGAAGUUUCCCUCAGGAAAGGG
rnacentral:rRNA from 1 species